rnacentral:misc_RNA from 1 species
GAAACGCGAUAGUUAAUGUGAAUUGCAGAAUUUAGUGAAUCAUCGAGUCUUUGAACGCACAUUGUGCCCAUAGGUAUUCCUUUGGGCAUGUCUGUUUGAGCGUCAUUACAACCCUCAGCUAACCGCUGGUUUUGAACCUGAACGGGUGACACCGCGCCGGUUUUAAAGUUGUAAGCUCUGCUGGCCGCUCUGCCCAACCAGAACAUAGUAAGCACUACUUGUCCGGGUGAAGCUGAACGGUACGGCCUGAACAAAACCUACCCACUCUCAAGGUUUGACCUCAGAUCAGACAAGGAUACCCGCUGAACUUAAGC